AGUGAACGCUGGCGGUAGGCCUAACACAUGCAAGUCGAACGGCAGCACAGUAAGAGCUUGCUCUUACGGGUGGCGAGUGGCGGACGGGUGAGGAAUACAUCGGAAUCUACUUUUUCGUGGGGGAUAACGUAGGGAAACUUACGCUAAUACCGCAUACGACCUACGGGUGAAAGCAGGGGAUCUUCGGCCCUUGCGCGAUUGAAUGAGCCGAUGUCGGAUUAGCUAGUUGGCGGGGUAAAGGCCCACCAAGGCGACGAUCCGUAGCUGGUCUGAGAGGAUGAUCAGCCACACUGGAACUGAGACACGGUCCAGACUCCUACGGGAGGCAGCAGUGGGGAAUAUUGGACAAUGGGCGAAAGCCUGAUCCAGCCAUACCGCGUGGGUGAAGAAGGCCUUCGGGUUGUAAGGCCCUUUUGUUGGGAAAGAAAAGCAGCAGGUUAAUACCCCGCUGUUCUGACGGUACCCAAAGAAUAAGCACCGGCUAACUUCGUG
rnacentral:rRNA from 1 species